rnacentral:lncRNA from 1 species
AAUUAAGAAUAAUUAAUAGUACAGGAGAUAUAAUUUUUAGGGUAAACUUCAAAUACCACUCAUGUGGUUUCGCACUUUCCCACUUUAGUGUCAUGUGGUUUAAAGUGUAUCAAGUUAGCGUACUGUGGUUUCAUUUUUAUUUUUUCGUCAAUUUUUUCGUUAAUAGUUUGUUAAAUUAUAUACAAAAAAUUUCAGGUAUCCUAUCUAGAUUUAUCGAAUAUUCACUUUAGUACCUUUUAGUUUUAACUUUGUCACUGAUUUAACGAAAAAAAUUAGUGGAGUCGAUAAUAAAAAGAUAAAAAUGAAACCAUAUAGCACUAAAUUAAUACACUUUAAACUACAGGGUAUUAAAGUGAGAAAAUAUGAAACCACAGUCGUAAUGGCGGUAUUUAAAGUUUUUUCUAAUUUUUAAUAAAAUGCAAAAGUUGAGGGAG